GAGAAAGUGUCAAAACCGAGCAACGCGCCAGUCCGCCUGAAUUCUGGAUAAGACGGCCUCCGGCAAAAACCCUCCCGUUCGGCUGCCUCACCCCUCCCCAACGCUGCCAUGGCCUCGCUCCACCCCGCGACGGCCACGCCGCCACCGCGCCACUCCCUCGCGCCCUCUCUCCGCGCGUCUUCACUCUCGUGGUCCGCCUCCAUCGCCGUCUCCCGCAUCCUGCCGCCCCCUCGACUCGAGCUCCACUCGCCGGCGCCGGCUCACGGGCCCGGCAACCGCCAGCAGAACCUGUUGGUGUGCGCGGCGUGGACGCGGCGGUCGCGCGGGGAGGCGGAGCAGCGGCCGAACCGCAAGUCGUGGAAGCAGCGCACGGACAUGUACAUGCGCCCCUUCCUGCUCAACGUCUUCUUCUCCAAGCGCUUCGUGCACGCCAAGGUCAUGCACAGGGGCACCAGCAAGGUCAUCGCCGUCGCCACCACCAACGCCAAGGACCUCCGCCUCACGCUGCCGUCCCUCGUCGACGACAACGCCUGCAGGACCAUCGGGAGGCUCAUCGCCGAGCGGUCCAUGGACGCCGACGUCUUCGCCCUGGCCUACGAGCCCAAGAAAAACGAGCGGAUCGAGGGCAAGCUCGGGAUCAUAAUCGAUACGAUUAAGGAGCAUGGUAUCAUCUUCGUCUAGGCAAGUUUCAGGAUUGACUUGCACCCUUGCAUAACAAUCCGUCAAAUGAAAAGUACGAGUUGCCAGUAACAAUCUGAAGACAAAGUAAUCCAGUGAUUGAUCCCAUUUUGCUUCAAAUUUAAGUACCCAACUACUUAAUUCCAUCAUCCUUGAGUACUUACAGGUGAGAUAACAGUAAGUUUUAUUGUGUAAUAUUGGUUACUGAUAGUGUUUCAAACUUCAGAGGAUAAGAAUACAUGGUUUUGCUAGGAAGUUGGAGUUAUGCACAAGUUAUGACUCUGUAAAAUGGUUUCCUUUCCCUCUCUUGUUCUUCAUUAGAUAGCUGAUGUAUGUCCUCCAGGAGCUGUAUUGUUCAUUCUCUUCAAAUAAUAAUUGAAUAGUUCCACCAGAUGUUGAGAGAUUCAUUGCACGGUAGUUAUGUUCACCUGUUGGAUAGCUGAACUCUUCUCCUUCGCCUUGUUCAUGGAAAAUUACAUCUGGAAGAAAAUGGAGGUAAAUGGUACAAUAAGAGAAAUGAGAUUACGACAACAAUUUGUUGAGAGGAAAUGACAAUGACUCACAGUUCUAGCACUUUACUCAUCUUUGAUACCUUCCUGCUCAACAAACUGGAAGUAACAUAGUUCUAGAUCUGCUUUUUUUGAACUGUAUCAUCUAGAUCUUUUGAGUUUGUUUGUCUCUGUCAUAUCAUUGUACUGUGUUGGAAUAUUUCCUCAACGGUGAGUGAUGCAAAUUAUCUAUUUAUAAAGUGCUCAUCAUCAUUUCUUCUUGACCUUAGUAUGUAUUAUAUUUGUUUCUGUAUAAGAUACAUUAAUAGAUCUCAUUUAAUACUCACAUUUUUCAGAGGUUCUGAAACGACUCUUCUUGCCUAAUGUUAGGAUUAUAUUGUCAUACUUGCACUGCACAGAAACCAUCCUGGUAUGAAACCUUCCUGCAUGGAGGCAUAAAUGAAUCUACUUAAUUGUUUUCCCCAAACUCUAUUCUAUUAGUGGAAAUGUAGUAUAAUGGGGCGAAAUCAGUCAUUGGUGAAUUAAUUGUCUAUACCCUUGGGUGUCCGAACAAGAAGUAUGGCAUCUUUCUGGCUGUUCAUGUGGCCUUCAAAGGAAUAGUUGCUUAUUGUCCGCAUCUUAAGGCCGUCAACCCCUCUUAGGCCUGCAGCAGCAAGAACCAUGAUUUCAUAUUAUUAUAUGUUUUAACUGGAAGAAAGGAGCUGAUAUGGUUCUUGAUCUUACAGGCUGCUGCACUAGUAGUCAGUGUGAGCAAAUCUCCCAGUGCUCUAGUCUCUAAUCCCAUGUUGAUGACUGAUGAAACCUGUUCCUUGCUAGCUCCGGAAGAUUUUGCAGCCUCAGCACAUGAGGCUGCCACCAGUGCUGCAGCUGAAGUAAUUGCUGCACGCAUCUUCAUAUCAGUGUCUUCUCUCCUGUCAGUCAUGGCAAUGCUACUCAGAUUGUUUGACCCAAAUGAGCAAUUUCCAAUAGUCCCUGCAACUACUGUGGAUAGUCUUGCAACUGAGAGGGCUGCAUGCAUCUGGGCAGUUCGGAGUCUUUUAUCCUCUCUAUUACUUCCAUAUCCCCUCUGCAUUAUGUUCAAUAGCUUGGCUUUCAACCAUUCUGCCACUGGGGCCACGAUCAUCUGGAGAACAUUAUAUGUGUCAAUGGCAAAAUAGAAAGCCUGCUUAUCUUUGAGAAGUCCUGUCUUUGCUUACACAAUUUGUGUUCCCGGUCUUGUAUUUCUGAAACCUUGUGUGGUGAACAUUUCCGCUCGAUAGUAGAGCCUGUUGGAGAAUCUAUCGGAUCAGGUCUACAAACAUCUACAAUAUGCAUUUAAUCAUUGAAUGGUGGAGAACACCAGCAAUUUGACUUGGAGAUCCUUACAAUCUGUCAUUGAUGUGGGAAAAGUAGACAUUCUUUUUUGAAGAAAAAAAGUAGACAUUCUAACUGCGGAUUCUCCAGCAGUAUGCCUUCAUCGGAGUUAGCAACCAUCUGUGGACUUGAAGAUGUCGGCUACGAUGGUGGGGUUCCUAAACUAGUGAUAUCUUCUUGUGGCUUGAAAUGUGACAUCACAUCGACUGAGAAAUUCUAACCAACCUUGGCAAGUGAUUGGGCAAGGAUUUUCCAAGUUUUCAUAUACAAAACAUACUCUAUAAUCUAUUGUUCUCACUUGCUUGAAAUUUAUUACUCAGACAAGGUUUUGAUGCAUGACUAAGUUUGGAAAUUGUCAUUUGCACCUAGUUUUGAAAACUGUGAUUCAACUUAA